UACAGAGGUCUCAAGCGUUGUUCGGAUUCAUUGGGCGUAAAGGGUGUGUAGGUGGCGCCGUAAGUCGGGUGUGAAAUUUCGGAGCUUAACUCCGAAACUGCAUUCGAUACUGCGGUGCUUGAGGACUGGAGAGGAGACUGGAAUUCAUGGUGUAGCAGUGAAAUGCGUAGAGAUCAUGAGGAAGACCAGUGGCGAAGGCGGGUCUCUGGACAGGUCCUGACACUGAGGCACGAAGGCCAGGGGAGCAAACGGG
rnacentral:rRNA from 1 species